rnacentral:rRNA from 1 species
AGUGAACGCUGGCGGUAGGCCUAACACAUGCAAGUCGAACGGCAGCACAGUAAGAGCUUGCUCUUACGGGUGGCGAGUGGCGGACGGGUGAGGAAUACAUCGGAAUCUACUUUUUCGUGGGGGACAACGUAGGGAAACUUACGCUAAUACCGCAUACGACCUACGGGUGAAAGCAGGGGAUCUUCGGACCUUGCGCGAUUGAAUGAGCCGAUGUCGGAUUAGCUAGUUGGCGGGGUAAAGGCCCACCAAGGCGACGAUCCGUAGCUGGUCUGAGAGGAUGAUCAGCCACACUGGAACUGAGGCACGGUCCAGACUCCUACGGGAGGCAGCAGUGGGGAAUAUUGGACAAUGGGCGCAAGCCUGAUCCAGCCAUACCGCGUAGGUGAAGAAGGCCUUCGGGUUGUAAAGCCCUUUUGUUGGGAAAGAAAAGCAGCAGGUUAAUACCCCGCUGUUCUGACGGUACCCAAAGAAUAAGCACCGGCUAACUUCGUG